GGUUGUAGGUUUGGAAGAUGCCAAGAAGCCUUGAUGAAUUCCUGCAUUGUAUUUUGUCGAUGGUACACACAUCUGUUACUGAGCAUUGCUAUGGCUAGUUUUGUUUUUUCUUACUACCUUUCCAUGAAGCGAGUGAAGACUGAUCUCUUCCUGCUCCUCCUCCUCAUUACAGGUGAAUGGAGAUGUAUCUGCGACAGUGACACCCACACCAGCACCAUCUUCAAACUCCUCAUCUUCUCCAUCAACUCCAACAACUCCAUCCAGGGAUACAAGUGCCCCAAUAGUCAAGCCCCAGCUUGACGGUGACAAAACGGCCGGUGAGGUGGGUCUGAGCCUCAGUACCUCUGCAGCAGAGGCCAAGGAGAAGGUGCAUUCGAAACGCUCCAGUAAGCGGGCCCCACAGAUGGACUGGAGCAAGAAGAAUGAACUGUUCAGCAACUUGUAAAGAAGAAAGAACCUUCGCUAAUCUCAGCUUCAGCUUUAAUAACCUCAGAAAAUGUUAAUUUCUUUGGUAAUUUUGUUUUCCCAAGCCCCGUUGAGUCUUAACCUGGUACAUUCAGAGGGCUGAGUCCUUCCCUGUUUCCGUUUCCCCUUUUGUUCAAAUCCAGGUCAGGUCAGGUCAGGUCAUCAUUGGCCUGGCUUUUGUUAGUCGAGCAGGGUAUUGAGCCCUCCCCCGGCCCACUCUGAUUAGAACUUUUGCGCAGACUCUGUGUUUGUGCUGCCUAACCCAGGAGCUGUGCAUGGUGUGUUGGAAUCCCACAGGCAUCUGUCACUGUCUGCUCCUGAUGCCAGCACUCACUUGGGCAGGGGCAGCGCUUUGGGGCUGGGGACACUCUCCUGUCUUCACCUCUCUCAAGUCUCUCUGCUACCCAGUUGCAGAGCUUUUUGUGAACAGUGUGUGCAGUUUAAGACCAGACUUCAUCACACAGUCCUGAGUUUAACCAGGUCACCUUGAAUAAAAGCAGGACACAUUUACAAUCUCUUCAAACAACUAAGUCCUGCGCUGUGAACACUGAACCAUUCUUUCACAAACCUGGUGAUUUUUGGAGUUUUGUUCCUUCCUCCUCAUGAACAGAAGGUUUUGAAUCUCUAUCAAGAUCUGUUUGAAAUUACCCACACAAAUUACCUAUUAAAGAACCCAUAGUUCUGCCAAUGACAAGAUCAAAUUUUGCGUCUCAUUUUUCUCUAAUCUGUUACGUGCAAUUAUGAUGUCUUUUUUUAAAAUUUAGAUUCUUCAGUAUUAAAAUCGAGUCUAAUCUGCAAACUGCAAUCGGCAAACAUUAGCAAAGAACUUAUUUAGUUUGUGUUACUAGACAAGGCUUUGGUAGGGGGCGAUGGCUGCUUUCUAGAUGAUAAAGAUGUACGAAUUAGUGCUGACAAACCACAAAGUCCAUGCGAAGAUGCUUAUGUCUCAGUGGCCUGUGUUGACCUUGGGCAGGUGGCUACCCAUCAGAACUGCAUGGAUAUUGGUCACGGUCCCAAUCCAAGCUCCAAUGAAUUGUAGAGGAGUGUAGAUUUCUCUUGAAAGUGGAUGUGGAGCCAUUUUGCCAACACUCUCUAAAUGAUUCAGGUUACUGGAACGUGUUGCCAUACAAGACCUUAAUUUGGACGUUCAUUUAGAGUAUAAUUCAAACCAUGGAAUCUCAUCCCUUCUUACCAUAUUCCUUCAUCCCAUUUCUUUCCCAUCUGCUGUUUAGUUUUCAGGUCUCCUUCUCAAAGACCAACCUUACUCACAGUCAGUGUCGGUGCUGGUGAAUGAUGCUUUGAGUCAGAUCACAGCAAGGUAUAAACUGGCCCUGCAGGUUAUGAGAUAACUGCUCGCCUAUGUAUGUUUGGGGAGAGUGGAAGUCAUUUUUGGUCUUUUCACCCCUUCCACCAGAAUGUGCCAUUGAGUCCAGUUAAUCUGCUUUGAACAGUCUGAUCCAGUUAGUGAUACUUUGAUUUCUCAUUCCCUGUUUGACUCUUGUGACAGGAGGUUAUGAUCUGUCCGUUAAUGUUGAUUGUUGGGUUUACCUUUUCAUUUGGAAACAUUCUCUGGGAUCAGGUAUUAAAGGGACUUGUUUAUUUGCUCUUAACUGUCAACAUCAUCAUCUUUUGGUUUUUGUUGCAUUUUGGGUGUUUUAUUAACUCGUUCCAUCCAGUUCACAAUACUCUUGUCUCCCCCUGUACUUUAGAUGUCAUCAUGAUUGACUGAAUGCUGCCCGUAGUUUUCUCACCAUCAAUGAUGUGAAUGAUCUACUUUCAUUUGGCACAAGCGAGUUCUGAUCUGAAAAGAUUCCAGAACCUGGAAAUCUGACAGGCUUGCCAUUUGCUUUCAAAGGGGCUUUCAAUUUGGUUUUUAAUUUAGUUCAAUAAAAGCUAGGUUUAGAAAUCAGCAUUGAUUAGACGAGAGUGACCUCCUCAGCGCCUCACUGUGGCGAGUUGUAAGGAGUAGUUUAGGUCAGUCACAGUAAUGUGUAAACCUGCAAAGACACAGACUCUAGUAUGACAGCUGGAAACUCUCAGUUUCUAAUUUCUAAUUGUGUUAUGGUCUUGGGUUGUUUUGGUUGAGGUCAGAGACUUUAUACCCCAGCCUUUAUAGUUUAACCCUCAGGAUCUCUUCUCAAGAUGAUGCCUGGGACUUGUGACAAGGACCCUGCCUGACUUAUAAGAUGAAUGGUUUCUCAAGGGAUUCACAUAUUACCCUGGGGUGCAGUGCUUCAACACCAAUUUUAAGAGUUGCUGGAUUUAGUCCCAGUUUUGGGUAGUACAUCAAGGAUUAAUCUUGGUACAGUCAUGGUCUAUGUCCAAAUAUGGCAUUAUAUCUCAUCGCUCUGUUUUAGGUUGCAUUUUCCUUCUUACAUGACAGUCUGUACACUUUAUAAUUUUCUUUAAAAAAGCUUCUGACCUAUAUUGGUGGUAAGAUGGAAACAUUUCUUUGAAAGUGAAAUGCCUAUUAUAGCCCCGGGAAACCUCAGCUGAGAUUAAUCCUUCGUGUACGUGUUUCUCUUUGUUGUUAGUUUUGAUUUUGUCAGUGCACUGUGUUUGAUGGCAUUGGAGCACAUGUAGUCCGAUUUAAUUAGCACAGGUUCUAAGUUAGAGACAUUGCAAGUUGUAGAGAAGAGUUUUAUUCCUGUGUAUAAAAGGCAGAGAUCAAAGUAUUGCUGUGUAGCUUCAUGUGAAAUAGCAGAACGAUUUGUUGUCCAAAUUCAAACACAAAUAAUUUUUAGAAACUAUAUUUUUACCAAUGUCUGUAAAUUUUAAGGAAUAAAAGUUAAAAUCAAA